ensembl:lncRNA
GUAGGCAUCCUGAUUGCUGCUUUCAUUAAUAUGGAUUCAAAACUAGUUGAUCACUGUGGUCCUUUUCAACCCAGGCCAUUGUACGAUUCUGUGACUGACGAUGGCCCCACCAGCUCACAAAACAUAAGCAUGAACCAAGCACCAUGUGAGCCCUGCUGGUGUAACAGGCUGCCUGAGGUGGAACCUCUGGGAUCCAUCAGAUGCUCUGGAAAGCCCAUAAAGUGGAAUUUCCCGAGAUAUUUGUUCUUCUAUUCAGAGUGAACACACCGUGAGAAGAACUUGGCUCAGCAGGCCCAAGCCAAAAAGGAAAGCAAGGAUGUACAGAAGAAUGCGGAUCACUGAGAUGUCAGAUCAGCUACUCUGCUUUGUGACUACAGAGAAUAAAGGAGGAUGGCAGAUCCUGCACUUCCCAGCUAAGUGCUUUUGAUCAGUGGUCAACACGGUGAUGAAUGCUUUUCCAUCGCACCCUUCAUCCCAUGCAUUUUCAAGGCUGCUUAGAGAUUUUUUGACUUCAAUCAAAACUGCUGCUGCAUUAUGCAUGAAACUCAUGGAGUAGUUGGGAGUCGAGGAGAUCAGCUACAAAUCACAGCCAAGCACACGGAAGGCCUCCUGGUUCUGAUGGCUUCUACCACUUUUGAAGGCUGCCAAGAGAAGGUCACAUGCACUGAUUUCUUCUCUUUCCUUAACGUUUUCAAGUGCAUCACACUUUUUCACGCAGGCAUUCAAACGAAAAAGAGGAGUGGUGAGGAAUAUCAUUCAUAAACCAAAGGGAAGGGCUGCCGCUGCGUCCCUGUGGUGGGGAAGAAGGAAGUCCCACGUGCAGUCACCAAUCCGAAGUGCAACCACAAUGGAGCAUCUUCAUUUGUUCCUCCUGUGACCAUACCAGCAGCACUGGUUUAGCACCACAGAAGGAGACAGAAGAAGACGGCCCUGCAUCAUUUUCUUCUCUAUAUUUUUUAAUUCUUCCUUUUUUUUUUCAUAAUUAAAUGGAAAAUAAAUUAAUUCCUGGGUUAUUU